AACGCGAAGAACCUUACCAAGGUUUGACAUGGGCCGAAAACUCGCAGAGAUGCGGGGUCCUUCGGGGCGGUUCACAGGUGGUGCAUGGCUGUCGUCAGCUCGUGUCGUGAGAUGUUGGGUUAAGUCCCGCAACGAGCGCAACCCUCGUCCUAUGUUGCCAGCGGGUCAUGCCGGGGACUCAUGGGAGACUGCCGGGGUCAACUCGGAGGAAGGUGGGGAUGAGGUCAAGUCAUCAUGCCCCUUAUGUCUUGGGCUGCAAACAUGCUACAAUGGCCGGUACAGAGGGCUGCGAGCCUGCAAGGGUGAGCGAAUCCCGGAAAGCCGGUCUCAGUUCGGAUCGGGGUCUGCAACUCGGCCCCGUGAAGCCGGAGUCGCUAGUAAUCGCGGAUCAGCAACGCCGCGGUGAAUACGUUCCCGGGCCUUGUACACACCGGCUAC
rnacentral:rRNA from 1 species